CCUACGGGUGGCUGCAGUCGAGGAAAUUUUACAAUGCUCGCAAGAGUGAUAAAAUAAGCCAGAGUGUUUCUUUUAAAGAAACUUUUGCCAGUUUCAAAAAGACUGGCGAAUAAGGACUGGGCAAGACCGGUGACAGCCGCCGCGGUAAUCCCGGCGGUCCAAGUCGUAUCCACAUUUAUUUGGUCUAAAACAUUCUUAGCUUGUUUGAUAAGUCUCUUGUGAAAUCUGGCAUCUUAAGUGUCAGGCGUGCAAGAGGUACUAUCUUACUAGAGACCGGAAGACGCAAAGAGUAUUGUUGAGGUAGCGGUAAAAUGUGUUAAUCUCGACUAGACUAACAAUGGCGAAGGCACUUUACGAGUACGGUUCUGACAGUGAGGGAUGAAGGCUAGGGGCGCAAAGUGGAUUAGAUACCCUUGUAGUC
rnacentral:rRNA from 1 species